CAUGGGUAAAGAGUGAAAGGGAAAACAGUAAAGAAUACACUAAGAGGGGGCUUAUAGUCUGGUGGUAGUUAGAAAAGAAUAUUGAUUUUAGUGUUAUCUGGCUAUAUGAAUUAUCCAAAGGAAACACUUAAAGAAGUCUGUCCCAUCAUCUGUAAUAUUUUGCAGAGAAAUUUGCUUGAGGAAUAGUGACUUUGCCUCUUAACAGAUGGGCUAGCAAACAUUAGGAAUUAUAAAAGCGGUGAAAAGUUGGAGCGAAACCAGGAAGAAAUGGAUAGAAAUCAUUAACAACUAGUAUUAGACUUUAAUAAUAAUGUCAUAAACUAUAUUGUAUACAAUAAUAAUUUUACAAGUAACAUUUAUUGAAAACUUACUAUAUGUCAAACCCUAUGCCAAGCACUGUUGUGGAUUAUCUUAUUUAACUUUCGUAACAACACUUAGAUAACUGUAACAUUUCCCUAUUUUAUAGUCCUGGAAUUUGAGGUGGCAGAGUCAGAUUUGAAAAUGGCAGUCAGAUGCUUAACUACUGCUUCAUGCAAUCGGGGAGUGAAAAUGCAGUGCACAAAUACUCUCAGCCAUAAAUCAUCGAUUGGACUCAGCUGUAAAUGGUAUCCAUCCUCAGGGUACUAGUGCAGAUAGCUCAAGUUAUUUGGUCACAAAGAAAGGCUUCCGGUGCUCAACUCAAUUUUGUGAUUUGUCAUGUGUGUAAAUGAUAGGAAUCUACCAGAUUUUCUCCUAAAACAUAUUUGUUCCAUAUUAUCAGCCUCGCCUGCUUUGUGUUUGAAAAUCAGUGACAUGGCGUUGUAAACUUUCCUCUUACUUGCCCUAAGAGAAAUCGUACUGCAAGAAGUAAGAUGUGUGAAAGUAGUGGACUUCAGGGAAUUGUCUAAGCAUCUGGGAAUAUCAAAGCCUUCAUGAGGUAGUCUCACUGCCUGUGGGAAAUGCACUGCGCCCCGUACAAAGGAGUCUCCCUUGCUAAGGAGACCUGAGAUCCUGUCUAAGAACAUUCUUUUGACUCUGGUGAUCUCUCCACUGUGUUGUCCUGGAGAUUCAGUAAACCUCUCUGGAGCAAGUGCUAGGCACUUGACCACCUGGAGUAGAAUUCCAGGGAUAUCUGCUGGAAAAGAAGCUGAGGACCUCAUGCUGGGAGACAAGUCUCCCAAGUUGAGUUAGGUCUUUGGAAAACAACUGGAUUUGGUAUUGGUCUUUAUUACAGUUUCCACAGACUGAGAAAAUUGUUUAUAAAACAAAAGCCGCACACAAUUUGGUAUGGUAACAUUUUUUAGAAUUUUGUUUUUGCACAGCGGAAACCAAGGCCAAUGCGGUCAUGGUAGAAAUGGAGCCAAUUCUGUUACCCCACAGCACCUCUCCUAAAACACUAAGCUGAGUAAGCCAGGCCUGACCUUGCCAGGAACAGCCGGCAUUGUUUGGCUCUAUGGAGAGACUUCCGGGACGAAGAGCUCCGAACAACCACAGCAAGGCCCCACAUCGUGCAACAGCACGCACGCGGCACACCCAGCCUCAGAUCUCUCACCCUUUCCGGAGCCGGAAAGCCUACCAGUGCUCCUCCCUUCUUCCACUCUGGUGAGAGGGAAUCACAGUUAUUGUUUCCAGGACAAUAUGUCGGCACACACAGCUCUCGCCAUUCCUUUCUACCAGUGAGACAUCCCAGGCAAAUGGAGACACCUCUCUUGUUUGCAGUUCUCCGGUUCACAGGCAGUGUAAGGCGCCAAAUGAAACAUCCAAGUUUCCUGAUCCGCACUUUGAGCCAGAUCAUGUGAAGACUAAAGAAAAUCUAUGUUUGCUGGCUUCGGGAACAGGACUGACCGACUACUUUUUCAUCACAAAGGAAGUGUUACGAAAAAGGCUAAUACAUGGAACAUGAUAAAAACUUUUGUACUUCAUCCAUUUGAUUCACUCAGUGGUUUGGUGACUCAAAACUGAUCAAGAACCGAUGAAUCUUGUAAGGCAGGCUCAAGAGCACUGCAGGAAUGACUGGGGCCCCUGAGAUCGCUGGGAUCCCUUCCGGUGGUGGAACGGAGGACUUGCAAAGAUAAAGUGGCUUGGCCUGGGCCACGUGGCAGGUGUACAGCAGAGCCAAGCACCCCCCAACCCUACCUCCCGUCUCAGGGUCCUGGGUGCUUUCCCCUGGAAAGAUACCUGGUGUGUUUCCUGAGCACACCGCUGGGCGCAUGCCAGGGGGUUGGAGCAUGGGUUGAUUCCAGCAGUGAUUCGGAAUCGCUUGAUGAUGCUUAUGCUGGGAAGUGUAGACUUUUGUAUUAAAGGCAGCUCAGAUCUCAGGAAUUGUUGCAAAGUGCUUGUGUUCGGGCUGCUAACCAGACGGCUUCUCAACAACAAAUGGUCAUCGCUCACAGCUCUGGAGGCUGCGAAGUCCAGGAAAACAGCGUCUGGAUCUUCUACAUUGAGACGCAGCAGAACAAGUUGAGAGACAUCUGGUCAGCAGCUCCAGCGCACUGAGGAUGCCAAAGGCUGUUUUCCGGAGGGGAAAGGAAAAGAGAGCUAUCCAGGCUCAGCCGUGUUGUUCAAAUGGGAGUCUCUGAAGGGCCUCUCUCAUCCCUCAGCUCGCCCAGGACUCCCAGGAAGCUGCCCAGCUCUUAGCUCUCUGCUGUGGCCUGGGAUAGCAGCAGCAGAAGGCCCAAGUCCUUGGACCCCUGCACCCACAUGGAAGACCUGGAAGAAGCUCCUGGCUCCUGGCUUCAGAUUGGCGCAGCUCUGGCCAUUGAGGCCAUCUGGGGAGUGAACCAGCAGAUGGAAACUUCUCUCUCUGUCUCUACCGCUCUCUGUAACUCUUUCA